rnacentral:rRNA from 1 species
CGGACGGGUGAGUAAUGCUGGGAAACUGCCCGAUGGAGGGGGAUAACUACUGGAAACGGUAGCUAAUACCGCAUAACGUCGCAAGACCAAAGAGGGGGACCUUCGGGCCUCUUGCCAUCGGAUGUGCCCAGAUGGGAUUAGCUAGUAGGUGGGGUAACGGCUCACCUAGGCGACGAUCCCUAGCUGGUCUGAGAGGAUGACCAGCCACACUGGAACUGAGCACGGUCCAG